AGUGAACGCUGGCGGUAGGCCUAAUACAUGCAAGUCGAACGGCAGCACAGUAAGAGCUUGCUCUUACGGGUGGCGAGUGGCGGACGGGUGAGGAAUACAUCGGAAUCUACUUUUUCGUGGGGGAUAACGUAGGGAAACAUACGCUAAUACCGCAUACGACCUACGGGUGAAAGCAGGGGAUCUUCGGACCUUUGGCGAUUGAAUGAGCCGAUGUCGGAUUAGCUAGUUGGCGGGGUAAAGGCCCACCAAGGCGACGAUCCGUAGCUGGGCUGAGAGGAUGAUCAGCCACACUGGAACUGAGACACGGUCCAGACUCCUACGGGAGGCAGCAGUGGGGAAUAUUGCACAAUGGGCGCAAGCCUGAUCCAGCCAUACCGCGUGGGUGAAGAAGGCCUUCGGGUUGUAAAGCCCUUUUGUUGGGAAAGAAAAGCAGCAGGUUAAUCCCCCGCUGUUCUGACGGUACCCAAACAGUAAGCACCGGCUAACUUCGUG
rnacentral:rRNA from 1 species